GGCUACUUUGAUACCUUCCAGUUCAAAGAAUCUGCAGUUAUUAAAUUUGAGAAGAAGAAAUGAGCCUUCAAAAAAAGUCUGACAUAGUGCUGAACUGUACCAAAUCAUCUGAAGAGCAUGUAUGGGUGAAACUCCAAGGUGUCAUUGAGAUGUCCACGAAUCUCUCCCACAGCAGACAGAGUCUCAGAGCUGGAUGGGAUCUCAGAAGGUACAUUACUGCAACCAACACCUGAACAAUAGUCCCCUCUACUGCAUGCCAGUUAUGUGGUCAACCAAGCUCCAAUUGAAGAUCUUUAGGAAGGAGGAAUGCCUCAUUCCCCUCCGCCUCAACCCUUUCUUUUGGACACCUGUAACUUUUAGGAAAUUUUUUUAUAUUGAACCUGACUGUCUCUCUACAAUUUCCCUCCAUGGCUACUAGCUCUGCCCUGUGGGGCCAAGCAGACCAAUCCUUCCUCUCCAAUAAUCCUUUAAAUUCCUGAAGACAGUUAUCAUUUCCACAGCUUCCUUCCCCAUCCUCCUUUUCUCUAAGCUAAAUGUUAUAUUACCAAAUCCUUCAGCUGAUCUUUAUGUGACAAUUACUUGGCAUUUUAAUAUUCCUUUUGUGUAUUUAUCACAUUAUAGUUCACACUUAGUUACUAGACUAUAAAGCUUCAUGAGAGCAGCCACUGUAUCUUAUUGAGAGGCAGUGUGGGGUAGUGGGAGCAGGAGAUAUUGGUUUCUGUUUUGACUCUGAUCCUUACCAGUUUUAGGACAUUGGAUGAGAUGGGACACUUCACCUUUCUGAGCUUCAGUCUCCCCAUUUGCAAAAUUUGGGUAGGGAUGUUUGGACUACCAACUUAAUAGGAUUAUUGUAAGAAAAGGCACUUUGAAAAGCAAAAAGUACAAUAUAGGCACGAGCUCUCUCUGUCUCUCCUUCAGCCCCAGCAUGGUGUACUGUAUCACGUUUGCUGAAUUUGAAUGUGCUUGGUGAGAGAGGUUUACCUUCAGAACUUUUAGCUCUUCAGGAGCCCAGAGCUCCAUUGUAUUUGGCCAGCUUGUUUUAGGAUGUCCCCAUAAAGCCUGUCUGGUUCCGAAAGACCGUAGGGAAGGAAUCAUUGGUGUUAGCAACUGCUAACUCUUCAGAGGUUUGAAGUAAGAGUCCACACUUCUAAUUCAGACUCUACAGAUGCUGUUUAAAAAAAGCAACAGCAACAUUUUAAAGGGAGGAAAGCAUUGGCUUUGGAGAGGAAACAAAUGAUAACUCCCAGUUGUUUUCACCAGAAACACACGCACACAUCAGUCUGUCCUACCCUGGAUCUGAUCUCUCUGUUUAAUUUUAUGAACUACCUUUAAUGUAAUUUUAAACUUGAUUUUAAUUCUCUACUUAAUUAAAAAAACAAUCACACUUAA